rnacentral:rRNA from 1 species
GCAAGUUGAGCGCUGAAGGUUGGUACUUGUACCGACUGGAUGAGCAGCCAACUUGGUGAGUAACGCGUGGGGAAUCUGCCUUUGAGCGGGGGAUAACAUUUGGAAACGAAUGCUAAUACCGCAUAAAAACUUUAAACACAAGUUUUAAGUUUGAAAGAUGCAAUUGCAUCACUCAAAGAUGAUCCCGCGUUGUAUUAGCUAGUUGGUGAGGUAAAGGCUCACCAAGGCGAUGAUACAUAGCCGACCUGAGAGGGUGAUCGGCCACAUUGGGACUGAGACACGGCCCAAACUCCUACGGGAGGCAGCAGUAGGGAAUCUUCGGCAAUGGACGAAAGUCUGACCGAGCAACGCCGCGUGAGUGAAGAAGGUUUUCGGAUCGUAAAACUCUGUUGGUAGAGAAGAACGUUGGUGAGAGUGGAAAGCUCAUCAAGUGACGGCAACUACCCAGAAAGGGACGGCUAACUACGUGCCAGCAGCCGCGGUAAUACGUAGGUCCCGAGCGUUGUCCGGAUUUAUUGGGCGUAAAGCGAGCGCAGGUGGUUUAUUAAGUCUGGUGUAAAAGGCAGUGGCUCAACCAUUGUAUGCAUUGGAAACUGGUAGACUUGAGUGCAGGAGAGGAGAGUGGAAUUCCAUGUGUAGCGGUGAAAUGCGUAGAUAUAUGGAGGAACACCGGUGGCGAAAGCGGCUCUCUGGCCUGUAACUGACACUG